UAUAAAAGCAGUUGAAGUUGACUUUCUUUCAAAUUCUGUAGUUUUCAGGAAGAAAAUUGUUCAACGUUUAAAAUGUGGUUCAAAACCUGUUUGUUUUCCGCUUUGAUACUUGGUGUCUACUCUGCUAGCCCAGGGCUUUUUGAUGAUAUUCUUAAAUCGGUGGGCGUGCAAAUAGCAGAUGCUGUGUUCAAAAAGAAAGAAUAACUUUGGCAGAAAUUGUUGGUGCUUUUAAGACGAAUACUUAAUGGCUAAGGGCUGACCUCGCCACUACAUUCAUGUUUGCAAGUUCCGUGCUCCUUGAAUUGAUAAUCCCGGAUAUAAUUCCGCUAACUUAACUUAAUUCGUAAAAUUAACUACUUUUCAAAAUCUUGAAUUCAAUAAACGUCCCUUGCAUCAAAUUAACAA